rnacentral:lncRNA from 1 species
CUUCUUUUUCUAUUCACACAUGUCAGAUAGAGACAUGCGUGUUGUAAAUUAUUUUGUCAGAAUGAGAGCCUGGCAGAUUAAAUGCUUUCUUCUCUUCUUGCUGGACUUGAUAUCGAUCUCUUGUUCAUUUCUUGAUAAUAUGUUUGGUUAUUUUUGUUUUCAUUGCUUUUAGUGUCAGAGAUGGCUUUGGAUUCCCUGUUCUGCGUGCUCCUGCCUGGCUCCUGAACCCAGCUGGAGAGGUGUGUCAAUCCCAACUGGUGAAGUACUGAGAGGAAGCUGCACAAAAGGCAGCAAGGUAUUACUGAGUGGUGUCAUUGAGCAAACACAGAGUGGGGCUCAUCGAGGGAUGAGAUUUUGCCAGAGAAAGGACGAGCAGCAAGUCAGGGAGCUUAAGGUGGUGGAAAGCAAAUCCCUCGCAGCAACUGGCACCAUAAUCAAGACAGAAUGUUUGCAGAAUAAAUGGAGUUACCUGCUUUCAGCCCCGGGUGGUAGCUGUUGUCUGCCCUGAUGAUAUGUGAUAAUAAUUUGUGAUCCUGUUGUCUUAAAAUGGGGUCACUCAUCUCCAGUAGAAUUAAGUCCACAGUGAAGUUGUCCUCCCAUCCCCAAAGAGAUAAACAUAUAUGAAUGAACUCACGUGAUAACAACUACUGCUGCCUGGGAUCAUGAGAGACCUGAACUGAACUGAUAGGAAGUGAAAGGUGGCUGAGAUAAUGAGAAUAGACCCAUCUGCAGAGGAUCAUAAAACCAGCAAAGACAAGGUCUUGUCUAAGAUGCCUUCACAAGCUUUGUCUGUGAGAACUCUAAGGAUUUCUCCAGACCUGUUGGCUGCUGCUGUGAUCUCUGCCCAAGAGGAGCCUCUGACCAGCAUCCAAAAGGCUUCUGGACCCACUGGACUCUUCUGGAGGUACAUUGGUCUCCCGAGCCAUGGCUGUGGUUUUUUACUCCCUGUAUCACUGCCUGUGUGUAGAAUGAUAAUUGCAUAAUUGAUAGUGUGAAGACCUCUUGAUAAAUGGUAAAUCUGAGCAUA